AUCUUACGAUAUUAUGUUCGUCGUGAUAUCAUACAGCAUAUUUCCCUCGAUGGUGUCCGUAGCAUGAGAACGCACUAGCCUGAUAAACCAUUCUCAAGAGGUACAUAUAGGAUCCCAUUCAGUGGGUUCAUAGACAUCAAAACCUACCCUGACUAGAAAGCGGAGCCCAAGGUCAUGUUAUGAUGUUUUAUAAAAUGAUAGAUCCCACCAUAAAUACUUGUGUAUGCAUUUUUUGACCCCAAUAGUGGAGUUACUUUCUGAGUAUUUCUUAAAGUACUCAAGCCUCGUACAACUCUUAUUUUCAAGUAAAGGUGAGACACACUUGCACAGAUGAUGACGAUGUUGUGGAGGUCGUGGAACCGAAGCUAGGGUAAUUUCAUUUCUGCUUAAGUUGUGGCCCUUAGGUUAGAAAAUGGUGUUUUCAUUUCUUUGAAAUUACUAUUAUUUCAUGCUAGUAUUUACUUUUAUUUGAAAUGAAGUCCACAAAUGUUUAAGUUCAUGACAUCGUUUACAUGUGAAAAAUUUUAAAAUAAAUUUGCACAUAUUAGACAUAUCAUGCAUCUAGUAGCGUUCUAUUAUAUUAGGAAAUAUAGGGUCGUUACAGUUGGUAUCAGAGUGAUGCCUCUCCUAGUAAGAUGUGAUUCGGGAAUGAACCAACACGAAAGCUGGUGGAGCAUAUGAUGCACAAGUAAAGGAGCAUAUGAAUGAACUUAGACGACAUCUAAAUGAGAGCAAUCCUAAGGAUAUGAUAACUAAAGAAAUUUAAAAUUUUGAAAGUUACUACCUAUAUCAACAAGGUGCACCUUCUUUUUUAGUGGUUCAAGCAUAAUAACUCCAUAGUUAAACGUGGUUUGCUUGGAAUAAUUGUAUGUUGGGUGGGUGACUUCCUGUAAUUUUUUUUCUAGGAUGCAUGUAAGUGGGGACAAAGCACGUAGAAAGGACUCAUGUUGGUUUAUGGGGAUAAUCUUCACUCUUAGAAGUACGGAUUAAGUAACGUGACCAUGUUGUAGGGGAUGUAAGGAAAUGUCAAGGCCAUCAAAAGAAAAGUUCUUCGACUCCAAUUUCAACCUCAAGAAUUAUGUUAUAAACAAAAGCUCACAAAAUGAAGGAUGGACAACUAGUGAAUGCACGAGUUGUUGAGACACUCAUAUAUUUUCUAAACUGUUUUAUUUGUGUUGCAAGGAAAGGGGGUGAAAACGUUAUGUAUGUAUGAAAAUUGUUUGUGAUCUCUGUACUUUAGCAUAUUUUAAACUAGUUUGAAAAUUACUUGUCUUUAUUGGCA